rnacentral:rRNA from 1 species
CAAGAAUGAAGAGGCCUAACGCCACAGGAAUUCUGGUUAAGGAAACAGCUGAAGCUUCGUAUCCUUGGACUGGCUGCAGUAGAGAGAGCAAGGAAAAGACAGGCUUCAAGGAUAACCUGGCUCAAGGCGAGAGAUGCAAGAACGGCCUUCUUCCAAGCAAAGAUCAACUCCAGGAGGAGGAAAAACUUUAUACACUCCCUGCAAACAGAGGCAAGGACAACUAGUGCACACGAGGAG